UGUUUGUGUCAGCUAAAUCGUAAGCCUAUGGGGCUCUCUGCUGGUAUUGUGCGCGCAGCUUCCAAGUACGUCAUCAUUAGUGAGGUUACACCCCGAUCACAAGAAGUAAACAAAGAAUGAAAGGUUCUUUAAGUCCAUGUACGAUUUCCCCUGAAACGGAUCAUUAGGGUUCUUCGUUUUAGGUUUUUAUUUUUUGAUCUCGUAAUAUGCCUUAAAAGUUAUUUGGAGUCCUUUUGUUUUUUCACCGAUAACUCGAAUCCUAAUACAGUACUUCAUUGAAAACACUGUAAAACAAAAAGAAAGGAAUUCCUGGUGGUGGCCAUGUGAGGUUGUUGGUAGAAAAGUCCAGCAGGAUACAAGAAUGAAUCUUUCAGUGUUGGAAGUUGGACACAAGCAGUUCUUCUCAAAAGCUUUCUGGUCCACUUGGAUCUUGUCUGACGGUGCCAUGAUGGCCAGGAUAUUGUUGGUCAUGGAGCUCUUGCACAAUUGUCUGCUACAGCGUUCUAAAUGCACUAACUGUAGUCAUGAUUAUGUCAUGAGACUUGUGGGUUUGCCACAGUAAUGUUACAUUUUGGGAUGAAAGAAGACCUGGUGCAAUAGAUCAGGCUGUUUAACUGUGCCAAAUAUUGCAUACCGCUCUAAUGUUUUUGUCAUGGCAUCCUACACAAGUGGAAUUUUACAGUUAUUGUUUACCCAGAUAGUUACAGUGGGCACACAUUUUGUUAACACGUUGCUAUUAAAUGGAUAGAGUCUGUCGUGUAGCACAAUUCAAUGACAUUUUGUCAAUUACGCCACUGUGUAUUGUAUUUUACAACUAUGCAUGUGCAUCUACAAUAAAAGCUCAAAGCCAAGGUAGCUGCAGUAGGUUAUUGUGGGGCAGAAUUCAUUGUAGUUUUGUACCAGUCUUCAUUUAUCUUGCUCUAUUAAGGAUUAAAAAUAGACAAGCUAAACACAUGGGUGUGUACAAUACAACCAACUGGGCGACCAAUGAGUGUGUAUAAGGGGAAUACUGGCACGAGUAGAACCAAAGAAACCGAGGCUGAAAGCUGUGUCCAUAUAAGCCAUGCACUGUCCUAGAACUCUAAUACACACUGCUUUUCUUGUUAAAAUACAGUACACGUUAAAAAGUCCAGCUAUAUUUGUUUUCUGUUCAUUGUAUAGUCCAUUGAAAAGAGGGAAAUGGUUGAAGAGAAUACCAUGAAGUGGCUUAGGUACUGUAGGUUAUCGAAUGUCACUGUUUUGAAUUUCUGAUGCAGUUAUAUUAUGUCUUGGGUAAGGUUUUUUAAAGCAGAUGACGCCAACUGUACCAAUGUUGAGAAUAAAGCAUGGUACAAAUUCAAUAUGGUACGGUUGAUAUCCCAAACUGGAUUACUUUGUGAAGCAAAGCGUACACUCUGUUUGGCUGAAAUAUCCUCACCAGUCUAUACAAUCUAUAACAAAACAUUGUCAAUGUAAAAAAAACAAGUUAGAAAAACGCAACAGCCGUUUAAAGGGGUAAUUUCAAACACAAAAGUCCAAGUUAGGAGAAGCAAUUGGGCCAAUCUUGUCAAGCAUCAAACAAAUAGGCACAAUUGGAAAGGUGCUGGGGCCCAAGAUUCACACAAUUCUUGCUUCUAACUUGGUGCCUUUUUUGAUCGCUUCGCUCCACUUGAAAUGCGCAGUGGCGCAGCGGGCUUAAGGUCGUGUGCUCUUCAAGAACGUCAUGUUGCAAGUUCAAACCACUUGAAAUGCUCUUUGUAUGACUUGAAGUGAAUGAGACACACACUCACACACUGAGACACACUCACACACACUGAGACUGUGUGUGUUUCAGUGUGUUUGUGUCUCAGUGUGUGUGUGUCUCAGUAUGUGUGUGUGUUUCUCAGUGUGUGUGUAUGUGUCACUGUGUGUAGCCUCUUGUUGACUGUGUUUUAAUGAAUCCUUCAGAGGUUGCAAGUGAAGAAGGCACUGCAAUGUUGCAUUGAGUAGCAUGAGGUGAAAUUGGGGUUGCUCAAGCCUAUGAAUGGAUGUGUAAGUGCAAUGUUCUCUUAGAAGUCUGCGUGUUAGUCUCCUUCAAGCUUUUCAACUUCGGACAAUAAAGCCCUCUGAGCCGAUGUUAGUCUUCAACUGCAGUUUGACAUGCGUAGAUGCAGGUGGGGUCAAAGUUGAUAAGGUGGAUACUGCUUAAGGAAGUAACUGUGGAAAGUGCAACAAAACUUUGUCCAUAGGAGAAAAUGGAGUUACCACGAUCCAUCAUAACUGUUUUUAGAGUCAUCCCCUGACAUUUGUGAAUGGUGAUUGCAUGUGUACCGAUGACUGGGAACUGCUCUCGAACAAUGUAGACUCUAUCCAUGAUUUCAAACUUUGGUUUACUGGGGAAGAACAGCGGGUAAAUAUGCCACAUAUGCCAAUCGCUCAGCAUCUUAUUUGCUCUUUAUGUAUCUACAUUGAAUAAGUAGCCUUACAUUUAACGGGUUAAAUCACGUUUGGCUGCCGAUUUCUCUGCAGGUACCUGGCGAGGGGCACCCCCUCUGUAAGCUACACCUGUAUUUAGCCCAGUCCAAUGUGGUUUACUGGGGCAGAACAGAGGGCAAACAUGCUGCAUAUGCCAAUUUCACAGCUUCUUCACUGAAAAAAGCCUUGCAUUUAAAGGGUUAAAUCACUUUGUGCUGCCGAUUUCUGUACUUAUUCAACGUAGAUACAUAAAGAGCGAAUAGGAAGCUGAGCGAUUGGCAUAUAUGGCAUGUUUGCCU